UACGUAGGGUGCGAGCGUUAACCGGAAUUACUGGGCGUAAAGCGUGCGCAGGCGGUGAUGUAAGACCGAUGUGAAAUCCCCGGGCUUAACCUGGGAACUGCAUUGGUGACUGCAUUGCUGGAGUAUGGCAGAGGGGGGUGGAAUUCCACGUGUAGCAGUGAAAUGCGUAGAGAUGUGGAGGAACACCGAUGGCGAAGGCAGCCCCCUGGGCCAAUACUGACGCUCAUGCACGAAAGCGUGGGGAGCAAACAGG
rnacentral:rRNA from 1 species